rnacentral:tRNA from 1 species
GGGGAGGUAGUCUAGCUUGGUAAGAGAAUCUUUCUCCCAAAAUGAUUCUUGGUUCGGAUCCAAGAGGCCGCGGGUUCAAAUCCCGUCUUCCCCA